rnacentral:rRNA from 1 species
UACAGAGGUCCCAAGCGUUGUUCGGAUUCACUGGGCGUAAAGGGUGCGUAGGCGGUCGGGUAAGUCUGGCGUGAAAUCUCCAAGCCUAACUUGGAAACUGCUUGGAUACUAUCCGGCUAGAGGAAUGGAGGGGAGACUGGAAUACUUGGUGUAGCAGUGAAAUGCGUAGAUAUCAAGUGGAACACCAGUGGCGAAGGCGAGUCUCUGGACAUUUCCUGACGCUGAGGCACGAAAGCCAGGGGAGCAAACGGG